GAUGCCAGGGUCAAAAGCCUGAAACCACGAUGUGCUUGCACAGGAGUGGUUUUAUGGCUUAAUGACCCGCCCCGAUAUGAGCAUAAAAGUGGAGCGUAAGCUUCACGAUAUGCGAAUAUUGGGUAGAAUUGUGGGAGUACGAAGUACGGAACAAUUCGUAUG
rnacentral:sRNA from 1 species